rnacentral:rRNA from 1 species
UGCAAGUCGUGGGGCAGCAGGUCUGUAGCAAUACAGAUGCUGGCGACCGGCAAACGGGUGUGGAACACGUACACAACCUUCCUUUAAGUGGGGAAUAGCCCGGGGAAACCCGGAUUAAUACCCCGUAACAUAGUGAAAAGGCAUCUUUUUAUUAUUAUAGCAGCAAUGCGCUUGAUGAUGGGUGUGCGCCUGAUUAGGCAGUUGGCGGGGUAACGGCCCACCAAACCUACGAUCAGUAACUGGUGUGAGAGCCCGAACAGUCA